rnacentral:rRNA from 1 species
AAUAAGUGGAGGAAAAGAAACCAACAGGGAUUCCCUUAGUAACGGCGAGUGAACCGGGAAAAGCUCAAAUUUGAAAUCUGCCAACAGGCCGAGUUGUAAUUUGUAGAUGGCUACACUGCAUAAUAGUAGAUGCUCAAGUUCUUUGGAAAAAGACAUCAUGGAGGGUGACAAUCCCGUGAGGCAUGUUACUAGGAGCGUAUAGUGGGCUUUCUAAGAGUCGAGUUGUUUGGGAAUGCAGCUCAAAGUGCGUGGUGAAUACCAUGUAAAGCUAAAUAUGGACGAGAGACCGAUAGCGAACAAGUACUGUGAAGGAAAGAUGAAAAGCACUCCGAAAGGAGAGUGAAAUAGUACGUGAAAUUGUUAAAGUGGAAGGGCUUGAGAUCAGAAUUGGUAGUUUGGGUUCCACGUCCUCUUGGGGGCGUGUACUCCCUUUCGACCGGGCCAGCGGGAGUUUUGUCUCUUGGGUAAAAGCAGUGGAAUGUAGCAGCUUGUCUGUAUUAUAGCCUCUGUUCAUACAAGACGUCGGGACUCGAUUUGUUGGCGUAAUGAUCUCUAGCCACCCGUCUUGAAACACGGACCAACACGGACCA